GCAAGUCGAGCGGUAGAACGUAGCUUGCUACUUUUGAGAGCGGCGGACGGGUGAGUAACGCGUAGGAAUCUACCAAUCUGUGGGGGAUAGCCAGGGGAAACCCUGAUUAAUACAGCAUACGCCCUAAUGGGGAAAGCGGGGGCUCUUCGGACCUCGCGCAGAUUGAUGAGCCUGCGUAAGAUUAGCUAGUUGGUGAGGUAAGGGCUCACCAAGGCGACGAUCUUUAGCUGGUCUGAGAGGAUGAUC
rnacentral:rRNA from 1 species